rnacentral:rRNA from 1 species
GAUUUCUGGCCUGAAACAUUUUGCCGGCCACGGUUUCGUGUGUUAGUGCUUGAUGUUCUGGCCAUCCUUCCAAUCGCUAUUGGCUUUUCUUCAUUGAGAGGUCAGUGGUAUUGGAUCUUUUACUUUGAAAAAAUUAGAGUGUUUCAAGCAGGCUUUAUGCUAUGAAUACAUUAGCAUGGAAUAAUAAUUUAGGACUUCGGUUCUAUUUUGUUGGUUUCUAGGACUGAAGUAAUGAUUGAUAGGGACAGUUGGGGGUGCUAGUAUUCAGCGGCCAGAGGUGAAAUUCUUGGAUUCGUUGAAGACUAACUUAUGCGAAAGCAUU